AACGAACGCUGGCGGCAGGCUUAACACAUGCAAGUCGAGCGCCCCGCGAGGGGAGCGGCAGACGGGUGAGUAACACGUGGGAACCUUCCCAGAGGUACGGAACAACUCAGGGAAACUUGAGCUAAUACCGUAUACGCUCUUGCGAGGGAAGAUUUAUCGCCUUUAGACGGGCCCGCGUCGGAUUAGCUAGUUGGUGGGGUAACGGCCUACCAAGGCGACGAUCCGUAGCUGAUCUGAGAGGAUGAUCAGCCACACUGGGACUGAGACACGGCCCAGACUCCUACGGGAGGCAGCAGUGGGGAAUCUUGGACAAUGGGCGCAAGCCUGAUCCAGCCAUGCCGCGUGAGUGAAGGAGGCCUUCGGGUUGUAAAGCUCUUUUGCCAGGGACGAUAAUGACGGUACCUGGAGAAUAAGCCCCGGCAAACUUCGUGCCAGCCGCCGCCGUAA
rnacentral:rRNA from 1 species